rnacentral:rRNA from 1 species
UACGGGGGGGGGCAAGCGUUGUUCGGAAUUACUGGGCGUAAGGCGCGUGUAGGCGGCUCUUCAAGUCGAGUGUGAAAGCUCCAGGCUUAACCUGGGAAUUGCGCUCGAUACUGUUGAGCUAGAGUGUGGAAGGGGCUACUGGAAUUCCGUGUGUAGCGGUGAAAUGCGUAGAUAUACGGAGGAACAUCAGUGGCGAAGGCGACCGCCUGGCCCAACACUGACGCUGAGGAGCGAAAGCGUGGGGAGCGAACAGG